GAAUCGUCAGGUACACUUUCUAAUUGUUUUUGUCUUGUUCGCGGUUCUGGUAUUGAAUUGCCAGAAAUUGUGUUGGGGUGGUCAUUUCAAAUAAAUAUAUCAUUUCCCGCUCCUCAAGUAUAGGCAACCAAUAUAACAUCUUUUCUCGUCAAAUUGUCAAGUCGCAAAAACUUGUUUUGAAUCCCAUCUGUGAAAUAUAGAUACAUCAAUUGGAACUCAUUUUUCCGUAUUUCUCGAGUGUAGAGCAUCUCAGCUAAUCCGAAUAAAGAUUUUCUGUCUUCGACCAUUUGAGUUGGAUUAUUUGGAAAAUUGCAGAUAAUAUCAUAAUUUUGCUGAUUAUUUUGGAUAUUUAUAUCACGUUUUGGAAUCAAGCAGAAUUUCCGUCUUGUACGGGAUAAAAAUUCUACAUACUCUGAUAGAAAUUUCUAUAAAAGCCGCCCUCCAUCUUAGGCUUUCAAUUCUUUCAAUUCUUCUGAAUAUUUUACUGAUUCGAUAUAUAAGUGGAUCAACCUGAAUUAUUGGCGUGUUGGUUGAUGCAAAGACAUCCCUUGGACAUAGGCACCCCCAUUGCCUUAUACUGAGGGUUGGAAUAACUUCUAACCGGUUGGGAGCGAACCGAAUUCAACAUUUCCA